UACGUAGGGUGCAAGCGUUAAUCGGAAUUACUGGGCGUAAAGCGUGCGCAGGCGGUUUUGUAAGUCUGUCGUGAAAUCCCCGGGCUUAACCUGGGAAUUGCGAUGGAGACUGCAAGGCUAGAAUCUGGCAGAGGGGGGUAGAAUUCCACGUGUAGCAGUGAAAUGCGUAGAGAUGUGGAGGAACACCGAUGGCGAAGGCAGCCCCCUGGGUCAACACUGACGCUCAUGCACGAAAGCGUGGGGAGCAAACAGG
rnacentral:rRNA from 1 species